GACGAACGCUGGCGGCGUGCCUAAUACAUGCAAGUAGAACGCAGUUGCGAACGGGUGAGUAACGCGUAGGUAACUGCCUCAUAGCGGGGGAUAACUAUUGGAAACGAUAGCUAAUACCGCAUAGUGUGAGAUGGACCUGCGUUGUAUUAGCGAGGUGGUGAGGUAAAGGCCCACCAAGGCGACGAUACAUAGCCGACCUGAGAGGGUGAUCGGCCACACUGGGACUGAGGCACGGCCCAGGCUCCUUCGGGAGGCAGCAGUAGGGAAUCUUCGGCAAUUGGCGGAAGGCUGACUGCGGAACGCCGCGUGAUUGAAGAAGGUCUUCCGAGCGUUAAGCUCUGUUGUGAGAGGAGCGGUAACUACCCAGAAAGGACCGGCUAACUACGUGCCAGCAGCCGCGGUAAUUC
rnacentral:rRNA from 1 species